CCCUGGCUCAGGACGAACGCUGGCGGCAUGCCUAAUACAUGCAAGUCGAGCGGAGUUAAGAUGGAGCUUGCUCCUGAUUAACUUAGCGGCGGACGGGUGAGUAACACGUAGGCAACCUGCCCUCAAGCCUGGGAUAACUACCGGAAACGGUAGCUAAUACCGGAUAAUUUCUUUUUUCUCCUGAGGAGAGAAUGAAAGGCGGAGCAAUCUGCUGCUUGGGGAUGGGCCUGCGGCGCAUUAGCUAGUUGGUGGGGUAAUGGCUCACCAAGGCGACGAUGCGUAGCCGACCUGAGAGGGUGAACGGCCACACUGGGACUGAGACACGGCCCAGACUCCUACGGGAGGCAGCAGUAGGGAAUCUUCCGCAAUGGGCGCAAGCCUGACGGAGCAAUGCCGCGUGAGUGAUGAAGGUUUUCGGAUCGUAAAGCUCUGUUGCCAGGGAAGAACGUCCGGUAGAGUAACUGCUACCGGAGUGACGGUACCUGAGAAGAAAG
rnacentral:rRNA from 1 species